rnacentral:rRNA from 1 species
UACGUAGGGGGCCAGCGUUGCUCGGAAUUACUGGGCGUAAAGGGUUCGUAGGUGGUGCGGUAAGUUGGAAGUGAAAUCUCUGGGCUUAACUCAGAGGCUGCUUUCAAAACUGCCGUGCUCGAGUGCGGGAGAGGCCAGUGGAAUUGCAGGUGUAGCGGUGAAAUGCGUAGAUAUCAGGAGGAACACCGGUGGCGAAGGCGCCACUCUGGGCCGAAACUGACGCUGAGGAGCGAAAGCGUGGGUAGCAAACAGG